CCAUUCUUCUUUCUCUGCAAAUCGUAUAACUCUUUCGCCUUUUACUAAAGAUUUCCGUGGAGAGGAACAGCAAGAGUAUAAAUUAAUUUUUUUGAUGCUGUACUAUAUUGUGGGGCU
rnacentral:snRNA from 12 species